rnacentral:lncRNA from 1 species
GAGAACCAGAGCAGGGGAGAGAAGGCAGCUGAAACAGACAAGUGCUUCAGGCACAGGAAGAAAAUGGAGUGAGACCCGAGAGGCCUAAUUCACUGACCAGUAAGGUGUUGGCAAUAUCCUUGAAGAGACUAAAAGAACUCAGAACAACACUGAACAAGCCAGCAGAGCCAUCAACUCACCCCUACAGUCUCCAUACACAGACUCCAUGAAAGCAUUGGCCAUCAGCUCUCACUGGUGUGGAUAUGUCACCAGUGGGGUAGAGUUGUUCCUCUCUCUGACACUGUAUUAGUCCAUUCUCACACUGCUAUUAAAAAACAAACAAAC